UGCCAAAAACAGCUGCGAGAGAGACGGAGGAGGGCGUUACAUAGUGUGCAUGUGAGGGGUUCAAGAGACAAUCAGAGGGAGGACACCCCGAGAGACAGAAGAGGGAGACUUUGGAAGUCGGAGAGAAUGUAUGGAAAAGAAGGUGUGAGAGAUAUGAUUCUGUGUUGGAACUGGACGCUAAGGCAUUGAGGAACAAGGAGCCGUCCUUGAGGACAAGGGAAACAUAAAACAAGGAGCAACCUGGACUGAAGACUAAGGAAAAGAAGGGCUAAGAAAGUGUAAGAGGAAACGGAAAGGAUUUUCAAGGAGGAAUUAAGCAAGUAGAAUGGGUUGUGUCUUCAGCAAGCAGCGUUGGGUUACAGAGCGGAAUCCCCAGCCCUCGGACCCCCCGAAAACACGAGACCUCACAGAGGAUGCAGAGAUUCUCAGCUUAACAGAGUUGGGGAAAAUGGGUUCACACUCCUUUAAAGAGAGGAACUUCAAGAAGGAACACCACUGUGUUGUCUGCAGACAAGCUCUCGACAGCCAUGGCAUAUACUGCAGAGAAUGUAAAACUGCAGUUCAUAAGAAAUGCGAGGAAAAGGUCUCUGUCCCUUGUGAAGUUAUCUCAGAUCCAGU
rnacentral:lncRNA from 1 species